rnacentral:rRNA from 1 species
AACGAACGCUGGCGGUAGGCCUAACACAUGCAAGUCGAACGGCCGCACAGGAGAGCUUGCUCUCUGGGUGGCGAGUGGCGGACGGGUGAGGAAUACAUCGGAAUCUACUUUUUCGUGGGGGAUAACGUAGGGAAACUUACGCUAAUACCGCAUACGACCUACGGGUGAAAGCAGGGGAUCUUCGGACCUUGCGCGAUUGAAUGAGCCGAUGUCGGAUUAGCUAGUUGGCGGGGUAAAGGCCCACCAAGGCGGCGAUCCGUAGCUGGUCUGAGAGGAUGAUGCGCCACACUGGAACUUAGACACGGUCCAGACUCCUACGGGAGGCAGCAGUGGGGGAUAUUGGACAAUGGGCGCAAGCCUGAUCCAGCCAUACCGCGUGGGUGAAGAAGGCCUUCGGGUUGUAAAGCCCUUUUGUUGGGAAAGAAAUCCAGCUGGUUAAUACCCGGUUGGGAUGACGGUACCCAAAGAAUAAGCACCGGCUAACUUCGUGCCAGCCGCCGCCGUAAGAC